rnacentral:lncRNA from 1 species
GGUCCCUCGCGGGUCCCGGGCGCAGCACAACUUGCUGUCUUUUCCUGGCGGAGACAGCGCGGCACCAAAGAAGAUUGUGUUUCUUGCCUUUGCCGCUAUCCCGACGGAGAUCGAGGCGAGUCUGGAGAGCUGAGGUGGAGGGUCAGGAGGACCCGCCCGGAGAGCCCGCCGGCUGUGGCCGUGCGGCCCGGGAACACCGUGGAUGCCGGCUCCUGCUUUGGCAGGCGAAGCACGCGCCGCCUCCUCCCCGCCCUCCCUUUGCCGCUGUCCCCUCCCCUCGGCCCCGCCGCGUAGUCCUGGACGCGCGAGAGUGGGGGCGGCAGCCAGACUGAGAAUCCAGAGAGAAAGUUGCUCGCCUUCCUCGCAGCUCCCCGGGGGGCGCCGAGGCCACACCCGACCCCUGUUUGCUUUUCUGGGUCAAACACUGGGGUCUGGGGCUGCGGUGUUCGCGCAGCCUUUAUGAGGACCAGGAUGGGAAGUAGCCUCAGAGAUGGGGAGAGCGAUGUCUAUGAGCUUUAAGGGGCUCUUGAGAAGUGGUCACUUUGGAGGGCAGAGACCAUGACGGGUGUGGACGUAGGAAUGAGAAGGCUGGGCACGCCAUGCGAGGCUGCUGGAUUCCAUAGGGGCAAAGCCAGAGAGAAAGAAGGCAGGCUACUCCUCUGCCAGCCUCUCCCAGCAGCUGCAAACCUUUGGGAACUUCUUUCAAGACAUUUCUCUUUCUCUUUUUCCUUUUCCUCUUUCCUGGGUUUCCCCCACUCCCUUACCUCCUCCUCUCACCCUCUCUCCUCUUUCUACUACCCUCCUUUCUCCUCCCGUCCCCUUCCCUUCCUCUUACCCACGCCACUCCCCAACCCACAAUCAGCCUUAACAUCUAUCUACACAACCUUUGAAUUUCCUUUCUGAAAAUCGGAUUCUUUUGAUUUCUUCUUGGGACCUGCCCAGUGCUGACUUGCCAUCAGCCUUUUUAACCCUUCGGAGGCCAGAGCCGUGUUCUGUGGGUGACUGACUGACCUCUGGAGUCUCCACAGAGGACAGUUAUUUUAGGAAGCUACCAUCUGGGACCGGCAACUUUUGAAGUACAUACUUUGCCAGAUACAGUUUUUGUGAUGUGCCUUUUUCAAAGCAGCUUGGAAAUAAUAAAUGGGUAGGAAUAUAUUUCAUAAUAAAGUUUUUGAGUGCACCAUUCAAUUGGGCAGCAUCAGCUGGAGACAGGUUGUUUCAAGAUUGUUUGAAGGGUUUUAAGUGAUUGAUUCCAAGCCUUUCCUUUGUAGGAAUAGGAUACAGGCAAUAAGCCACCCAGGAAAGCAGUGUAGUACGCAGUAAGCUUAUCACAAUAUUCUUGAGAAGAGGAGAGAAUAGUUCCCGGGAGACAUUUGGCAGAGUCUGGAGAUAUUUGGGGUAAGCAUGACCCGUAGACUGGGAAGGCCCUACUCACAGCCAGUCCAUAAUGCCAGGGGUCUGCUCUGUAACUACAUAGGGCACACCCAGAAUAAUCUAGCUUGAAGUGUGAAUAGGGCCCAGGCUGGGAAGUCAUGUUUCAAAAUGUCACAUGGUUUAGCUCACCCAUGAAUCUCAGAUUUAGAGGUCUGGAUUUGAAGUUUUCCUGUGUUAACGUAUGCUUUAACUCUGCUUGUGCAAAUCACCAGUUAUCGAGCAUGCUGGCCAUAUAAUAACAGGUCUGACUUGUAGCUAAAUACCACUGCCUGGCUAUCACAUAUCUCCUAUCUAUGUAAUAUGGAGGUAGCAGAUACCAGCAUAGACAAAAUUAUACAGUGGCAGCCAGACUCACCCACCGACAGACACUCACACACUACCCACCGGGUAUCCAGUCUAGGACACUUUCUCAUGCUUGGGGGAGCUUUAGAGGGUGACAUGGAUUGCCAAGGAGGCGUCCAUUGUGAUCAUACCAACUGCAAAUUCUUUCAUUACUUCGUGUCAGUACACCGGGUGUAUGAAGAGAUGACUUCAUCUAAUUCUCAAAAAAAAGGGAGAGAAAAGCCACGAAGGCUGUUAGCAUUUCACAGAGAAACAACUGAUUAACCUGUAAGCAUAUGAUUAAAACACGGACUUAAAAAAAAAAACUCAUUAUUUGCAUUCUAUUAAGUAAUGUAAACAUUACCAGAGAGGUUUGGCUAAUAUGAAAAAGGAAGAAAUGAAGAAGUCAAAAGCUUAGAAUCCUAUCAGAAUGAAAUAUUCAUUAUGUGUGGAGUCCUUGUGUGCUACACUUCCUGGGACUCGACAUUCCAACUCGGACGGAGUCUGUCCCCUCAUUUGUAAAACAGAGCUUGAAACCAAUUUCAUUUAAUGUUUCUGAACUGACAGUGUGAUGGCAAAAUGAGCACUCCUACCUUGGAGAAGGGGGUAGGGGUCAUCUAAUCUGUGCGAGUGCGUGACUGCACCGAAGAGGUGACAGGUCUGGAUCCUGCCGGUAUCCCACUGAAAGCAGCUCCAGAAUCACGACUCAUUUCUCUGUCACUCCACCCUAUAAUUAUCUUCCCAAGCUAUAAAAUCUUCUGAAUUACCCUCCAGAUUCUGGCAUGUAUACUUGACACGCACAUGCAUUAUAAUAUCUUUGAAAACCUUUGCAUUCGAUUUACAUCUUCAAAGGAUCCUUAAGUUUCUUCACAGCCAGAAGUUCCCACACAGCAGAUGCUGGUGUACCUCCUGUUCCAGGCUCAGGAGCAGAAUGUUUGGCUUAAGCAGGGCUAUUGGGUGGUCAGAUGGUAUCAUGAAGGUUUGGGAGACUGUGGGCAUUCAUGACAACACUUUCAGUUGGUUAUCCAAUAUAACUUCCAACCCCGCCCCCUUUGUUCAAAAGAUGCUUCUCUAACUUCCCUUAAACUCUGUGGUGGUUACUCAAUGCCCCUAGAGCCAAGGAAUCCACUAAGGAGACCUGGGGGGAAAAUACUCUGUGCUCAAGCAGGGAAGCCUGAGAGAAUGCUUCCCCCACCUUCCUGGCUGUCUUUGCUCCUGUUCUUAAAGCAUGAAAUGUUUGGCAUUACAACAACCAUCUUGUAUCCAUGGCGAUAGGAAGGCUACAGGGACAUGACCCAACACCCUCACAACGUCAGCUCCUUACUUCCUUUUGAAUAUUCUUGCUGCUAGAAUCAUGGGCAUGUGCCACCAUGCCUAGACCCUUGUAAAUAUCUUUGAGUAAACAAUAAAGUGUUCAUAUGGUU